GAGCAGAAAGAAAAUAUUAAUAAUAUUGUGUUGUGACAGGAUCUGGAGAGCAUGAGAAGGUGGGGGGUUUCAUUAAAUGAGGCCGUUGGCCGCAUGUUGUUUCUGCGGAGUUCCGGCCUUGUGGGGUUCGGUAGCAUUUAAAACGAUCCCAUGACUCAGCCUAUUGAGGAGAGUGAGGACCAGAGCUAGACUGCCCAGGAUAGGGUACCUUGAGGAGAAGGGCCAUAUGAUAUGGAUGUGGAGGGAAGUCUAGAGCUAGUACGAUGGCAUGAGGCUGAGGAGUAGCUGGUAGGCAACUGUAUGUAAAACCAGAGCAGCAAGCAACCAUUAUUUGUUUGUUUCGUAGACGUCGGGUGUGGAACAGUGGAAGGUUUGAAAGCGACACCACGGCUGGGCUUGAAUCUACAGUUCUACUACGUGCAUGCUCCUAUAAGACAAAAAAAAAUGUUGCUAAAUGCAUAUAUACCGGCCCCAUCGAUUCGAAUUUAUUGCGUGAAUAUAUCCCGGACACUAAUAGUCAUAUUAUAUAAAUUUACUAACAGUCAUACUAUUUGAUGC